GGAAGGAUCAUUAACAAGAAUGUUGUGUAGUAGUGUGGCAACACACUCUCACAAAAACAUUAGCCCGGCCGCAAGGCUGAGGAUUGGAGGCUUUCGAGUCUCCGAAUAUAUACGCGUGUUUGUGUGACUGUUUGAUGGCAAAUUUAAUAGACAACUUUUAACAAUGGAUCUCUUGGCUCUUGCAACGAUGAAGAACGCAGUGAAAUGCGAAAUGUAAUGCGAUUUGCAUGAAUCUGUGAGUCAUCAAGUUUUUGAACGCAUCUUGCACUCUUGGCGCAAGUCAAGAGUAUACCUGUUUGAGAAUCGUAUCCUUUUCAACUUUCAAGCUUUUGGCGGUUGGACUUGAUCCAGAGGUAGCUCUGGAUUUAAAUGAAGUAGAGGAGUGUGCUUGAGUUUGCGCUCGGCUCCGUGUGCCAGAGACCGCUAGGUCUACCUCACAGAGUCGCAGUGUGGCCCUCGCACAAUCAGCUCCCCUUCAAACCCACUCUUUUUUAUGAUCUCAAAUCAGGUAAGGCUACCCGCUGAACUUAAGCAUAUCAGUAAGCGGAGGAAAAGAAACUAACAAGGAUUCCCCUAGUAACGGCGAGUGAAGCGGGAACAGCUCAAAUUUAAAAUCUGCCAGCAAUGGCCGAGUUGUAAUUUAAAGAGGCGUUUUCGGAAGGUUGGUGUUCGUUCAAGUCCCUUGGAAGAGGGCAUCACAGAGGGUGAGAAUCCCGUCUGGAUGAGCAUCCCAACCUUUCAUAUGAGGCGCUCUCUACGAGUCGAGUUGUUUGGGAAUGCAGCUCAAAAUGGGUGGUAAAUUUCAUCUAAGGCUAAAUACAGGCAAGAGACCGAUAGCGAACAAGUACCGUGAGGGAAAGAUGAAAAGCACCUUGAAAAGGGAGUUAAAUAGCGCGUGAAAUUGUUAAAAGGGAAACGAUUGAGAUUAGUACUGUCCAGCAAUGGACGGUCAGCAUCAGUUGUGGUGGCCAGAUGCGGGUACGAGGAAGGUGGUGUCGGAGUUCGCUUCGGCUCUUUAUAGACUCGUACAACGAUGGUCGCUGCGACUGAGGUGCUGCAGCCGGGUUCACCGGCGGGCAUGAGCCUGAUCCCAACGGUCAAGACAGCAUGCUGAUUUGGCCGGUAAGGUCUUGCUACAUCCUGCCGCGCUCGGCCUCAGGAUGCUGACGAAAUGGUCUCAAACGACCCGUCUUGAAACACGGACCAAGGAGUCUAACAUGUAUGCGAGUAUUUGGGUGGCAAACCCGAAUGCGUAAUGAAAGUGAACGGUGGGAGGGGUCAAACCUGCACCAUCGACCGGCCUUGAUAUCUUUUGAUAGGUCUGAGUAAGAGCAUACCUGUUGGGACCCGAAAGGCGGUGAACUAUGCCUGGAUAGGAUGAAGCCAGAGGAAACUCUGGUGGAGGUCCGUAGCCGUUCUGACGUGCAAAUCGAUGGUCAAAUCUGGGUAUAGGGGCGAAAGACUAAUCGAACCGCCUAGUAGCUGGUUCCCUC
rnacentral:misc_RNA from 1 species